CACAUCUGUACAGCAGUCUGUAGUGCAUCAUGUUGCCUGCCAGACAGACCAACCAGUGAAAUGCACAAUUGGCACACAGCUUUCCAUGAGAACUCUCCGGCCUCACUUCAGAAGCUCAGACUCUACCUGGCUGCCCUGCAUUACAAUGAAAAUACUGACUGACCACAGGCAACAUCUACAGGUGGUGAGCUUCUGUACAGUCAACUUCCCCAAAUCUAAGCAUGGAGAAUGAACUGCAAAGCCUGUGAAAGCAGAGCCAACAUUCCGUAAGUUUUACAAUCUUUUCUUUGAACCCCACGAAUAAAAAAUAAAGAUGGACACACAGGCAAUAACACAAACGGUUGAAAAUAAACACAAAUAAAAUCUGAAUUAUUUCUUUGAUGGUUUUCAAAAUAAUAAAUAAGAAGAAUGUAUAAAUUAGGAGAAAUACGAAGAGACACUUGACAACACUGCAG